UGCUCUGCAGGCAAAAGCACCUUGUUGAUGAGACAGGUCAGAGGAGAAGGCCUAAACCGGUUUAAGCUGAAGGGAAGGCUAUGCAAACUCAACCACUCUACAACCGUGGGGUCUGACUCACCUUCACUGGACAGUUACAGAUUAAGGCUGCAACCUUUGCAUACAAAAAGAAGAAUCUGAAAAAAGAUGAUGUGCUUCAAGAAGUCGCCGAUGUCAUGAAGUACGCAGCCCACAGGCCUGGAGGGUCUAAGUACAAGCCGCCAAAGAAUAAAACCCAGAAUGGAGGACCUCAACUAGAUGACAGCAACACUGAGAAUGAUGCCUGGACAGCAGUUGACUAGACAGCAAUUGACUAAUGAACAUGCUAAUUUGUUUAAAAUGAACAUAAUGGCUUAAUUUCUGGUAGAUCAGAUUAAUGUGACACUGUCUUUGCUUACUGUUGUAGUGAAUA